UAAACAUUAAUUUCUAUUCUUUUUACCUGUUAACACAACUGCCUCUCCAGCCAGACUCACUAGAAAUUGCUUAUUGUCAGAGAACGUACCUGGCAUACGUGGAAUGACUCUCCUCACAAAGUCAAACCUUGAUUGCCCACAGAGUACUUCAUACAAGCCUUGUUUCUCCACACAUUCUUCUAAUGCUGUGUCUCAGUAUUGGUUUUCAUAGACAAGGUUUUUAAGUUUCAAUUAGUGGUAGGAAUCAAAUAUCUAAAAUUCUUUAAUUCAUUGUUAGAUUAAGUACAUAUAUAUAUUUCCUUAGCAUCUGGUUUCCUUUUCUAUUCUCCCUUUUGUGGGUGAGUCACAAUUGUUAAUCAUAUCAAUGACUUCAAAAUUUGAGAUUUGGUGCCAAGGCAAAAUUCCUCUGAAUGACUUUCCCAUAGGGGACUGAACAUCUCUUCCCCCACUUGAGUUAUAAAAAAAGUUCAAGAACCAGUGGAAAGCCUGAAAUGUCACCAGUGCAUGGCAUACUGCAGAGUUGAAUAAAGAUUUGCUUAAAAAUUAACUUAAAGUAAUAUUCUAGCUGGUGUGGUGGCAACACACCUUUAAUCCCAGUACCCAGGAGCCAGAGGCAGUUGGAUCUCUUUGAAUUCAAGUCCAGCCUGGUCUACAUAGUGUGUUCCAGGACAGCUUGGACUACAGGAGACCCUGUCUCAAAAAGACACCCCCCAAAGCAAUAUUCUACUUUAAAGGGUAAAUUUGUCCAUGUUAAGGGGACAUAGCAAUAUUAUAUAUAAAAUGUUCGUUAAGGAACUUUGUUUAUAUAUUAGGAUGGAAUGAAAUAGGCCCGGCUUCAGAUAAGACUGCCACUUUACUAUUUGUAGAGGCAAUUCACCAUUAGUGUCAUUGCAUGUUCUUGUUGGGUGUGCCAAGAAUGCAAGACUGAUCACUCUGUCUUUGGACCAUUUCUCAGAGUUGUGUUCGCAGGGAGCAAUUUUGAGGGAUGAGGUAAUGUCUCCUUGCAAAACAAAGAACAGGCUUGCUUAGUGCUCACUAUAAAACAUGAUAGAUUCCCAAGCUCAGCAUUCCUCUCCUAUAAUGUGAACCAUUUUGUGUGCAAGCAUGCACCUGGGGCCCAUAAGCUUUGUUCCCGGGAGAAUACGGGUUCACAGAACCAACACAAACAUGCUGACCCUCUAGCUACUGCUUCCGUUAAUAGUCCAUUUCUGGUCCACAUGGGUUCUGUCAGCAUCCAUAAAGCCGCGAACAACAACAUACUGAGUCUCCAAGGGAAGAUAAAAUCUGACUCUUCCUGAGAGCUCCCUCGCCUCUUUUAGACCAGGGUCGCAGCCAGAAGAACCCUUUGCUUUGGUGCCCGGUGAUGCCCGGCAGGGAGGCACAGACUCCUCGUUGGUCCUACGCAGGCACUGGUUUGGUGCUGAGACGCGCGGUGGGCUAGCCUGGACGCAGCGGGGCCGGGGUAGCUAAGCGAUUCCUGCGCAGGCGGGGCCGGAGAACCGCACGGUGAUUGGAUCCCGGAGCACGGGCUUUUGUCUGGCCGCGGCGGUUGCUUAGCAACCAGGUUUUAUUUAGCUCUUUCCCAUCGCGUGGCUCGGGUCCCGCGGAUGGAGCGAGUACCCUCGGGAGUAGAGGUGCCGGGCGGCGCAGGUCGUGGGCUCCACCCAGGAAACCCCCCGUUGGCGCGACGCGCGCCCAGCAGCCCCGGAGCCGGCACACGCGCGCUCCCUCCCACGCACGGUCGGCCUCCGCAGCCGCCCACACGGCCGCGCGUUGGAGAGUGCGGUCUGCGGCGGCUGCGCGGCGUCUCCUCCUCCGCCGUCAGGGACCUGCUCGCCGCAGGGGCCGCGGAGCGCGUCGUCCCCCUCAGGCCUCCAGAGCCCGGAUGCCUCCGAAAUUCGGCUCUGGGUCUGUGGGGAGCGAAAUGCUACCCAAACCCGUUGUUUCCGAAGCCCAGAGCAUAGAAACACGCACAAGCACGCACACGGGCGUCGCCGCCGCAGGUGGGGCGCGGAGCGAAGAGCUGGGGCCCAGAGGGUUCGCGGCCGCUCCGCGUCGCCGCUCGCAGGAGCGACGGAAGUGCCCGGCGUCACCCGCCCAGCGCAAUGGCGCAACGGCCGGCCUGGGCCGAGCAGCCUCCGACACUCCUGUCUAAACAGCGUAACUCGUCAUGCGCCCGCGUGAUUCUCUUCACGGCGCUCGGAUCCGGUUGCCCUUCCGCCUUUAGCUGCACUUCCAGGGCCUCCGGGACUCAGCUGCGGGUAGGGCCGAUCACAGGCCUGGGGAGAGGGCACAGGGUUAGCGCGGCUCUCCGCAGCGGCCUGCUGGGAGCGUGGGAUCGGCCCGGGUCUCGGGUGACACCCCACGGCCGGAGCUUGACAGAGGCUGCAAGCAGGGGCGAGGAGGCGCGCUGCACCUUGCGCGGCGCGGGUGCCCCUCCAGCCCCGAGGGCUUGCAAAGCACGUACCCGAAUCUCCAGUGGGGCUUGUCAAAACUGGAGACCUCUUGUUUCAGGACCUCGAUUCCGUGGAUCAGGGAAAGGGCCCACUAUCUGCGUUUCUGGGAUUGCUAGCUUGCUUCUUCCAGUCCAGUGCAGAGCGGUUCAAGCAGGCCCACUUCCCUGUCAGCUCCUUCAGGCAGAAAUGACUGUAUCUAUUGUCUCUGCAUAUUUGUUAAUAUUAUUAAUCAUAAUAAACCAGGCGUUGUGGCACUGGCCUUUAAUUCCAAGGCAGGUGGACCUCUGAGAUCGAGCCAGCCUGGUCUAUAUAGUGAGUUCCAGGCCAGUUGGGGCUACACAGAGACCCUGUCUCAAAGCAAAGAGAAAAGUUACUGACCACAUGUGAUAUAUCCUUCCCUGAAUACAAGUAGUGCUACUUUGUGCCGUUGUAUGAUUGUAUCGUAUUGAUUUAAUAGACGGUAAUAACCAGACAUUUAGAUGCCCAUUAUUUUCCCAUUACAAUGUUGCAGUGAAUAUCCUUGUUCUUUUUUGUGCACCAGUGUAGAUACGCAUCUUCAGGAUGGAUUCCUGGGAAGUUCAAUGCUGGCUCACAGAGGUUUUGAAAAAGAGGCCACCACAGGAAACAAGGUAAACUCUGGGCCCUGACUUUUUGUUCAUUAAAGGCAUGCCUUCAACACCUCUGUCAUAAUACACUGAAUUAGGCCAUAGGUCACAAUGCUUACAGAACUAGGAUUCCCUUAUGACUAUACCAGCCUAAAACUAGUGGAAUUUAAGGUGGCUCCACAUUGACAAAGGGGAUUGUUACAAGGAAUGUUUUCAUCCCAAAAUUAUCCUCAGUAAGCCCAGAAUCAACUAGGCUGUCAACAAAGCAGAAUCACUGCAUUUGCUCCUAGUUGACUAUCUUUGGAAAUCACACAGCUAAGCUUCCUACCAGCUUGUGGGAGGUGACACACCUCUGACAUGUGGGUCAUGAUAAUAGCAGCCUGGGUGACUUUGCAGAAACUUGAAUGAACUUUUGUUAAGACAGACUCUAUAAUACCUGAUAGAUACCUGAUAGAUAAAUAAAACGUGAUAAAAAGGCUUGGUGUGUGUCUUCAUAUUAUGUCCAUCCCCUUUGUUGUGGGUCAGCUCUAUAUGUAGAUGUUGAUCAUUUAAAAAAAUGUUAUGUUCAAGACUAUCAUACAAGGUUAACUUGGCCUGUUGGAGCUGGCAUUUGUUCUA